rnacentral:rRNA from 1 species
ACGGGAGGCAGCAGUGGGGAAUAUUGCACAAUGGGGGAAACCCUGAUGCAGCGACGCCGCGUGAGUGAAGAAGUAUUUCGGUAUGUAAAGCUCUAUCAGCAGGGAAGAAAAUGACGGUACCUGACUAAGAAGCACCGGCUAAAUACGUGCCAGCAGCCGCGGUAAUACGUAUGGUGCAAGCGUUAUCCGGAUUUACUGGGUGUAAAGGGAGCGUAGACGGCGAGGCAAGUCUGAAGUGAAAUGCGGGGGCUCAACCCCUGAACUGCUUUGGAAACUGUUUUGCUAGAGUGCAGGAGAGGUAAGUGGAAUUCCUAGUGUAGCGGUGAAAUGCGUAGGUAUUAGGAGGAACACCGGCGGCGAAGGCGGCUUACUGGACUGUAACUGACGUUGAGGCUCGAAAGCGUGGGGAGCAAACAGGAUUAGAUACCCUGGUA